ensembl:misc_RNA Y_RNA Y RNA
GGCUGGUCCAAGUGCAGUAGCAUUUGCAACUAAUUGAUCACAACCAGUUACAGUUUUCUUUGUUCCUUUUCCAGUUCCAUUGCUGGAGAAAAUUUAACUAACCUAAA